GUGCUCUUUGGUAGCACAUAUACUAAAAUUGGAGCAAUACAGAGAAGAUUAGCAUGGACUCUUUGCAAGGAUGACAUGUAAAAUCAUGAAGCAUUUUAUAUUUUU
rnacentral:snRNA from 1 species